GACGAACCGUGCGAACGUUAUUCGGAAUCACUGGGCUUAAAGGGCGCGUAGGCGGGCCUGAAAGUCAGGGGUGAAAGCCCCCAGCUUAACUGGGGAAGUGCCUCUGAUACUUCAGGCCUCGAGGGAGGUAGGGGCGUGCGGAACUUCCGGUGGAGCGGUGAAAUGCGUAGAUAUCGGAAGGAACGUCGGUGGCGAAAGCGGCGCGCUGGACCUCUUCUGACGCUGAGGCGCGAAAGCCAGGGGAGCGAACGGG
rnacentral:rRNA from 1 species